GCUGCUAUGGCUCAGUUGGCAGAGCGCGUCCUUGGUAAGGACGAGGUCGGCAGUUCGAAUCUGCCUAGCAGCUCCA
rnacentral:tRNA from 1 species